UUCUUCUCGCUUUCUUUACAUCAACUCUUUAUAGCGCGAGAGAUAAAAGAGGGUACUACUCUUUCCAUUGCUUCAGCUGUUAAGAGGAGAGAGAGAAGGAAAGAAAGAGACGGUCAUGCUGAUCGCUGCUUCCGAUUCCCUCUUCGUCUCGGCAACUCCGAGAAAGCCUUCGGAUAGAGGCCACAACCAAUCUCCGGUGAGAACUCGCUUCCUUCUCCAAGUAUCGAAAGGUUCAAGGCCUCGAACUACCGCGACUCGCAAGGUUCCUUCGAUCAGGGCGGCUUUGAUCACCAAUCCAGAUGACUUCGAGGUCGGAAGGUUCGUUGGAAGCUACGGAUUCAUGAACAUCACCAGCUACUCAUCAAUUCAAACAGGAGGGACUUCUAAUAUCAGCGGACUUCAAGAAUUCACUCCUGGCUACUCAUCUGAAGACAUUGAGCGUUUGAGGGUCCAAGAUGUUGGAGAGGGCCAAGUGAAGAUCAGGCUUUAUGAAGGAAGAGUAACCCAAGGUCCACUGAAGGGAACCAGAAUUAUAUUUAAGGUUUAUCCUGGACAACGUGCUGGUGGUAUCGAAGCAGAUAUGAUGGCUGCCAAUGAGCUAAGCACUCAUGCCUUCCUUCAAAGUGACUCCAGAAACAUCUGUCAGAAUAUCCAGUUUUUGUUAGGAGGUUUUGAGACAAAAACUGGAGAACAGUGGCUUGCAUUUCGUGAUGAUGGGAAAUAUAGUUCAGCAGACUAUGCCAAAGUUACGAGUGAAACAAUUUCAAAGAAUCUUGUUAAAGGAGAGCAGAAGUUUUGGAAUCCAUUUGAUCAGGAGCUGAAGCUAAAGCGAAGGAGAUUUUUUAUUAUCAAACUACUAAAUGGAGCUAUGAAUGGCCUGGCUUACAUGCAUAACCACGAUAGAUUACACCAGAGUCUCGGUCCUGCUUCUGUUGUUCUCAACAUAAUAGCAGAGAAAGAUGCAGCUUAUUUAGUGCCACGUCUUCGUGACUUAGCCUUCUCAGUUGAUAUUGGGUAUUCAGCUAUAGGAGCAGGCCAUGGGGCAUUGUCAGAAGGACUAUGGCACCGAGCUUCAACGGCUGGCGCUUUUACUCCUCUGGAGAAACGAGCUUAUGGAAUAGCUGAUGACAUAUAUGAAGCAGGGCUUCUUUUUGCUUACCUAGCUUUUGUUCCAUUUUGUGAAGCGGGCGUCAUGGAUGCCAUUUCCUUGCAAAGGCUUCUCGAAAGUACCUUUCAGCUUGACCUCAAUGCUGCAAGAGAGUACUGUUUAGCAGAUGACCGUUUGGUAGAAGCUGUCAAAUUUCUGGAUCUAGGUGAUGGUGCUGGCUGGGAGUUGCUCCAGGUACAUUGUGAUUCUUAAUUUUUCGGAGCUCCUCAUCCUUACUUUUCACUUGGGACAUACUUCAUUGUCUGCUCCCCACUCAAUUGAGGCUGUGGUCAAUAAGUUGGGAAUGACGUCUGAACAUAAGGCCAUGCUGAAUCCUGAUUAUCGUCGACGCCCAAUUGCAGAAGCAGUGCUGAGCCAUCGAUUUAUGACAGGAGCUGUUCUAUGAAUUUGAUGGAGAUCUUGUACACAAGCACAUAUCAAAUUAGUGGCUUCUAAGUGGCAAUUUAUUAAAUUAUUCUACACGUACGUGCUCACAAUAGUGUGUAUUACAUUUCUGAAGAAGUUAGAAAAAUCAAGCCAUGAAUUGGAAAAAUUCGAGCUGUCCUACAAUUAUGUGGAAUGGUAGCUUCUUCCAGCAAUGAUGUAUUCUAUCUGCUGUAAUUUCUUAAUGUGCUCGUGACAUUACUGCUAGGUUGUGAAUCCGAUGAAACCGAGAAAAACUCUGUAUGGAGCAAUCCGAUGUUGAAGCUUAAGCCAUUGCACUC